GACGAACGCUGGCGGCGUGCUUAACACAUGCAAGUCGAACGGGAUUUAGUAGACGGAAGCCUCGGUGGAAGAUUACUAAUGAGAGUGGCGAACGGGUGAGUAACGCGUGAGCAACCUGCCUAUGACAGUGGGAUAGCCUCGGGAAACCGGGAUUAAUACCGCAUAAAAUCGUAGAAACACAUGUUUUAACGGUCAAAGAUUUAUCGGUCAUAGAUGGGCUCGCGUCUGAUUAGCUAGUUGGCGAGAUAACAGCCCACCAAGGCGACGAUCAGUAGCCGGUCUGAGAGGAUGAACGGCCACAUUGGAACUGAGACACGGUCCAAACUCCUACGGGAGGCAGCAGUGGGGAAUAUUGCACAAUGGGGGAAACCCUGAUGCAGCGACGCCGCGUGAACGAAGAAGGUAUUCGUAUCGUAAAGUUCUGUCCUAUGGGAAGAUAAUGACAGUACCAUAGAAGAAAGCUCCGGCUAAAUACGUGCCAGCAGCCGCGGUAAUACGUAUGGAGCGAGCGUUGUCCGGAAUUAUUGGGCGUAAAGGGUACGCAGGCGGUUUAAUAAGUCGAAUGUUAAAGAUCGGGGCUCAACCCCGUAAAGCAUUGGAAACUGAUAAACUUGAGUAGUGGAGAGGAAAGUGGAAUUCCUAGUGUAGUGGUGAAAUACGUAGAUAUUAGGAGGAAUACCAGUAGCGAAGGCGACUUUCUGGACACAAACUGACGCUGAGGUACGAAAGCGUGGGGAGCAAACAGG
rnacentral:rRNA from 1 species